AGGAUUCUAGCUUAAAGUAAACCAUUUCUGCCAAGCAGACCUGUUCUUACAUGGCAUUCGAAAAUAUUGUGUGAACAUGUAACAACAAGAAACUGCUGAACUGUUUUAGGAAAAAAUGAUUUAUUUGCUUAUUUACAAGAAUGGUUUGGACAUUUGAUCAAAAUAAGGAACUUUGGUUGGGAAGAGGGAAAGAUUGGGAGUGGUCAAGGUUUCAGUUUCUGGGGACGCUCGGAACAUUGGCUGGGUUUGACCUUGUGUCUGUCCAUUUCUAACAGUUCUACAAUCCAGAGCAAACAAUGAGCGAGGAGAAACAGGGUGGGAAGAAAGGUCACACACAUUGGGUCACUGAUGGAUGGAAAUCUGGGUCACUUUCUGCCCUUGUGAGAGCAAGUAGGCACAGUUGUGUAUCAAGAUGGGGCCUGUAUGCAGUUCCAAGGGAGAUGGGGAGAGGAUGGGAGGCUGCUUUUCAGCCUUGCCUGCCCCAAGGACCCCCAUGUUUGCGACGGCAGGAUCCCAGCAGAGUCUCCAGAGCCAUCUUCACAAAUGCCUGGAAAUUAUUGCUUCUCUCCCUUCGGCUGUCCUGCGAGGGGACGGAACACAGAAAUAGACAGAGGCCAUGCUUCUCACAUAACAAUGGGUAGUGAUAGCCAACUGUAAUUCAUUUGGUCCAGCUCUCUCCAAUCAUUUUGAGAGCAAGGACUGGAUUGAGUUCAUUUAAACUUAGAAAAUGAAACCUUGUACACGAGGCUGUUAAAAAGACCAUGAUCCUCCUACCCUCGGUCCUAGAUUAGUCUAAUGCUUUACCUCCUUGCUUUUUGUUAUCGUCUCCUUUCUGAUCAGCUUUCUUCGGUUGCUCCUUAGGACUCUGAGGUUGCUGUGGAGAUGAAAUGGGGGGAAAUUACAUUUAGAGAAACUCAAACUUGAAUGUUUAACUUACAAUGAAUGAGGACUGUACUGGUUUCUUGUUCUUACCUUGGUAGCUGAUUUCUUGUCAGAUUUGUUACCUGCAAAUGAUGAAAGAAUGUUGAUAUAUUAGUCUUUAGAGUAACUGUCCCCUUCAUGAUGAUCCGGGUAAGAAGAGGGUGCAUUUUCUUUUCAAUUUUGCAAUAACGUUCAUAUAAUCAAGUCAAUUGAUGACUGUAGGGGAGACUUAGGGAAUUUAACACUUUUUAUCUUUUACUUUAUUACUGAGUUCAAUUUAUCUAGAUGGAUAGUCCCAAAUUCAACAUUUAGCUUGAAUAGAAUAAAACACAAAUAUAGCAUUGGCCUAAAUUCACUACAUUACACACUGCCUUGAGAAAAGCCUUUAUAUAUAAUAAUUUAUUUUCUAUAAAAUAAUAAUAAUAUGCUAUAGCCUAAUACAAAUAUAUAGGCUACAUGAAAGCAUAAAAACGACUUUAGAAAUACCUUUUGUUCCGGGCAUUUUGGCUGUGGUCCAAAGUCUGUGUGUUAUUUAGAAAACGCAGUGCUUAUGUGGCGUCCAGAUCGCUCAUUUAUGGCUCCAGCACCUGAAUGCUCCCUUCACCGGGGCCCCUUCGGGAAAGAGCGCAGGGAAAAUGCAAAGAGCCCCGUCAGCCGCUCGAGAGGCACACUGUCCUGCGGGCCUUUGCUGAGCUCAGGCGAAACGUCUGAGCGCGCGACCCAAACUCAUAAUCCCAACAUUGUAUGGACGAUGAGCUGUGCCAUUGUCCUCAAAUUCAACAACAAAUUGUUUUGUCCUAGGCUAUUAUUUUAGGCAUACUGGCCUACAUAGAGAUAAUAGUAUGUACAUGUAUUAUUUAUGUUUCUGCUUUUGAAGCACUUUUAGAUUGUUAUGAAAAGCGCUGAAGUCGAAUAAAAAGCAACCAGAUAAAUUGCUUUGUGUAGAGGUGCUGACUAACGGUG
ensembl:lncRNA